GUAGGUGGCAAGCGUUGUCCGGAAUUAUUGGGCGUAAAGCGCGCGCAGGCGGUUCUUUAAGUCUGAUGUGAAAGCCACGGGCUCAACCGUGGAGGGUCAUUGGAAACUGGAGAACUUGAGUACAGAAGAGGAAAGCGGAAUUCCACGUGUAGCGGUGAAAUGCGUAGAGAUGUGGAGGAACACCAGUGGCGAAGGCGGCUUUCUGGUCUGUAACUGACGCUGAGGCGCGAAAGCGUGGGGAGCAAACAGGAUUAGAUACCCUGGUAGUCCACGCCGUAAACGAUGAGUGCUAAGUGUUAGGGGGUUUCCGCCCCUUAGUGCUGCAGCUAACGCAUUAAGCACUCCGCCUGGGGAGUACGGCCGCAAGGCUG
rnacentral:rRNA from 1 species